GAUCUCAUGAAAAUGGACACUGUUGGUCAAUGUCCAGAAUUGCUCAGUGUGGCUAAAUUGAAACACAGGUCAUGCUUCCAUCACAGUAAAUGUAUUGUAGUGGUGACAAUGAGACAUGUAACAUUG
rnacentral:snoRNA from 1 species